rnacentral:misc_RNA from 1 species
UCCGAGUUGACCCCGGCAGUUUCCUAUGAGUCCCCGACAUUACUCGCUGGCAACAUAGGACAAGGGUUGCGCUCGUUGCGGGACUUAACCCAACAUCUCACGACACGAGCUGACGACAACCAUGCACCACCUGUGCAGAGCCCUUGCGGACCCCAUAUCUCUAUGAGAUUUCCCUGCAUGUCAAGCCCUGGUAAGGUUCUUCGCGUUGCAUCGAAUUAAGCCACAUGCUCCGCCGCUUGUGCGGGCCCCCGUCAAUUCCUUUGAGUUUUAGCCUUGCGGCCGUACUCCCCAGGCGGGGUGCUUAAUGCGUUAGCUUCGGCACGGACGGAGUCGACACCGCCCACACCUAGCACCCAUCGUUUACGGCGUGGACUAC